rnacentral:rRNA from 1 species
GACGAACGCUGGCGGCGUGCCUAAUACAUGCAAGUCGAACGAGAGCGACCGGUGCUUGCACUGGUCAAUCUAGUGGCGCACGGGUGAGUAACACGUGGGUAACCUGCCCAUCAGAGGGGGAUAACAUCCGGAAACGGAUGCUAAAACCGCAUAGGUCUUCGAGCCGCAUGGCUUGAAGAGGAAAAGCGGCGCACGCUUCUGCUGAUGGAUGGACCCGCGGUGCAUUAGCUAGUUGGUGUGGUAACGGCUCACCAAGGCCGUGAUGCAUAGCCGACCUGAGAGGGUGAUCGGCCACAUUGGGACUGAGACACGGCCCAAACUCCUACGGGAGGCAGCAGUAGGGAAUCUUCCGCAAUGGACGCAAGUCUGACGGAGCAACGCCGCGUGAGUGAAGAAGGUGUUCGGAUCGUAAAACUCUGUUGUUAGAGAAGAACAAGUGCUAGAGUAACUGUUAGCGCCUUGACGGUAUCUAACCAGAAAGCCACGGCUAACUACGUG